GAACAUAUUUUACUGUUUUAGCUCUCUUGGACAUGCAAGGAGAUAGAUAUCUAGAUAACUAAAUAGUUUUGGCUUGAAUGAGGACUCCCAGGCAAGGCAUGUCAUUCCUAAUUCGUAGCCGUGCUGCUCGGAGUCUACCCUGGAGGAACGACACUGCUCGACCUUUAUUCACGACGGCCAUCACAAGGCACAGUGGUGGAAUAUUGACCAGCAGCUAUACAGACAAUCCACGCGCCAACAGCUCUGCGUCUCCACAUACCGGUAGUACUGAACGACGUGAUGCUUCUAGAGUAGCUUGCUUCGUGUGCGGGACUGUGGGCCACUCGCCUGGGAAGUGCCCAUCCUUACCGCCCGGUUCUCCCUCUAAGUAUGGAAUAAAUUUCAUGGAUAUAGUAUGUCUCAAGUGUCUACUGCCUGGCCAUACGGUUUCACAGUGUUCAAACCCAGCUCAUCCCCAGACAUUGUUGAUGUGCCCUCGGUGUGGCCAGCCGGGACAUACAAAAAAGGAGUGUUCGGAGCCGAAGAAACCCCGCAAGAAAUCUUUUGAAAUCGAAGAGGUGGAGUGAGCUGACAUGCCUUUCUAUUGCUGACUACAGGCAAGAUUGGGACAGUUGUCAUAUGAAGACAUCAGAAGCACUGUGCAAUCCUGUGCUCAGUCCACAAUGACUUGCCAGGGAAGGCAACGGUGGCAUUGUGCAUGCCUGUGGUGUCGCCAACGCGGAGUCUGCUUCUUGCUGUGGCGCGGCUUUGUGCAGCAAUGGCGGGAGUGCCCCGUCCGUGUGAUGUCUACCUUUGGAGGUUGCUAUCCUCCAAGUAGUAACUGGUAAGCCAUACUGGACAUUCACAAUUAGCCUUGUUCUCGGACACUGUACUGUGGCUGGUGGCUGCGGAGCGUUUACAAAGGAACACACGCUGAUGUUGCGAGGUAUGGUAGCGCUGGCCUGCACCGCCGUGCCGAAGCUCUACUGGCUUUUGAGUAGCCUUGCUUCACUGGCAAGCUGCCAUGCUCUGCUGGUCCACAGUCACAAGCGGGCAGUUGGCGAUGUGGAUUCCUGCACCCGCCAUCAGCAGCCUGGUGUUGCUACCACUAGUACCAGCUGCAAGCAGACGUGGUGGUGUUUGGAUGAGUUUUUUUCUAUUCUUUUUUGUUUUUGUUUUGUUUUGUUUGUGCAAUGUUAUCGCAUGAACUGCUUGUCAAUUAACUAGUGGUGUCUGUGGACAUUAUCGUGCAGCUUGUAGUUCCUUGGUCCUUUUCUUUACUAUAAAAUAAUACUUGGCUCUCCAUCAGAGUCUUUUUUUCUUUUUUUCUUUUUUUAUAAGGGCCACAAACCAUCAUGGUGAAAACAUGCUGUAGCUGGUAUGAACUAGCAGAUUGUGUGCCGGCAUCCGAACAUGCAGUCCUGCAGUCAUGCGGUCACUUGUGCCGACAUCUGCAUGCACAGCACUGCGUAUCAUUCCUGACUAGUACGGUCUGUGCUUGCGUUGGUGCGGCACUACAUAUGAAUGGCACUCUGUGCCCUGGAUUCUCUCUCUGCCGACGGAAGUCCCGCUGGCCAACUAACAGUUAUCACCAUUGUGUGCAUGGCUUGGCAGCUGGCUGUGCGAUAUGAGCAGACACUUUUGCCGGCUCCCCAGCUGUUGUGAUCAGCGACUGCUGAGAGCCAUCCCUAAUACUGUACUCUCACGGUAUGGAUGUCCAUAUCCAUGGCUGGAGAGAGUCCUCUAUACGCCAUGUGCGGCUGGUCUGCACAUGGUAUGCUGGUUGGCGUAACAAACACGAGCUGCGCGUGUGAAGCAUUGAGAAAAGUGUUUGUUUUCCUCAAGCUCUGCAGAAGAUGCUGUGUAGUGCGUCU